UCUCUGUGGAUGUGGAAUAUAGUAAAGUAAAAUAGGGGAAGCUCAAGCUUGAAGCUACUGACAGAAGAGAGUGAGCACACAAACGCAGGCAAUUGUAUAAAAGCAUAUACCUUGGUGCGGUGCGUGCUCACUUCUCUCUCUGUCAGCUGCUGCUGCCGCCCUUGCCCUUCCAGUCUUUGAUCUCACUUAAAUUCACAGAGA
rnacentral:pre_miRNA from 1 species